GAACGAGGCAAAUGGACGAGCGAAAAACGUCUGUCCUGGAGUUUUUUUUUUUUAAUCGUCACACAACGAUAAAUGCAGAGUUUAUCUACAUUGUGUGGACAUUAAAACCUCACGGAGGGACACGACGUGCGUGGUCCUUGGACCUUUUUCGUUAUUUGGAUAAUUUGCUUGAGGACAACCAGAGGGGAAAAACCGGGCGUCGACGGCGUGUCGGGCUGCGUCGUCUUCUUAGCGUUCUCAACGGUCAUCAGCCAUUUUGCCAUCAACUAGAGCCCAUCUGUCAUCUUUUUCUUCUUGUUUCCAACUUGGCUAUAUCUACCCGGCCCCCCUCAAGAAAAUCAUCUCACUGAAGCUGGUCCCCACCAAUGCAGACUCUGCUGUGAUCUCACUGGAGUGUGAUGACUUCCUGUACUUUGCUGUGUGGGAACACAAGUAAAGACCUGAUAGGGACAUCAGCGACCUGCUCUGCUAAUAAGGCGCUGGCGGGACGUCUGCCCGCUCUGUUUGUCAAUGAGCACGUCUUGAUGUGAGGAUUAGGCCGCUCCUUCCAAUUACAGCCACCGCGGUGCCUGGAGCUUUGUCAACCAUUGACGCAGACGCCUGUCGAUGGACCGCCGCUCAGCGCAGCCUCGAACCCCCACUGAGUGACAGGCGCCAGCAUGCCAAGAUAAUGACGCACUUUGAUUGUGUGUGUGUGUGUGUGUGCUGUGUGUGUGUCUUAUAUUUGUGAUAACGCUAUGCUAAAUGACUCUUGUUAUACCUUCACAUGCGAAACUAGAGCUGAG